rnacentral:rRNA from 1 species
GACGUAGGGGGCAAGCGUUGUUCGGAAUUAUUGGGCGUAAAGCGCUCGUAGGCGGGACUGGAAGUCCGUGUUGAAAGACCUCGGCUCAACUGAGGGACCGGCUCGGAUACUCUAGUUCUUGAGGCAAUCAGAGGGUGAUGGAAUUCCCGGUGUAGCAGUGAAAUGCGUAGAUAUCGAGAGGAACACCAGUGGCGAAGGCGGCGACCUGGUCCGGGACUGACGCUGAGGCGCGAAAGCGUGGGGAGCAAACAGG